CUAAGGGAUAGCCUGAUCAGCGAAAAGCCGUUGUCCUGGACGGCCUGCCCUUAAUUCUACUUUCCAGGG
rnacentral:sRNA from 1 species